UGGUGCUUCUAAGAAUGCACUCAGGUCAUACAGCCUUAGGUUGAAAUCCUAUCUCUACCACCUGCUAAUCCAGGGCAAAAGACUUAAUCUCUUUUAGCCUCCGUCUUCCCAUCUACAGAAGGGUGAUGAUAGAAAUUGCUGUGAGGAUUAGGAGAGAGAAUGCAUGUAAGACACUUAGUCCAGGGCCUGCUGUACUCAUUAUCAGUAUUGGCAGUUACUCUUACCAAAAAUUAUGUUUCAAAGGUCCCCAUGCCAUAUUUGUUUUGUUCACCCUUCUGUCCCCGACACUUAGCAGAGUGCCUGGCUCAAAGUAGGUACUGAAUGGAUAUUUGUAGACUUGAAUUGAUGUAACUGUCUCUCCUUUUGGACAUGCCCUGUGCCACACCCCCUCUGACGGUGGUGGGUGACAGAGUUGAAAAGCAUGAGGUCAGGCUGGUUAAAGGCAUUGCUCACCAGGUAACACCCAAGACUAGAUAUUCAUGGGCUUUGAUGAAAUCAAGCCGUGGAAUGCAUGUGGCCAUGACCGCCCAGGUCAGGCCUGUCUCAUGCUAUCCCUCAUGCCCUCCCUCUUCAAAGGAGUGUGUCUUGCACCACUCCCACCUGUUCCAGGAAAAGAUGUGAAAUGAUAAAUUAGAACAGUACAUACAUCAGUCCCGCAGACUUUUUCAAAUCAACUACUAUUUAUUAAAUGUUAAGCAUGCACAUGAUUAAGGCUCUUUACUGGGCACUGCAGGAAAUUCAGAGUUGAGCAAGGAAACACCUUUCCUCUCAACAUAUUUUCCAGUAAUUGGGGGGGAUAUAUGGAUAUAUGGUAGUAUAAGAAAAAUGCCAGACCAAGAGGAUCAAUGAAUGAUAUGGAAAAUGAAAGGGGAGAAUUCACACUCAGCUGCAGUCAUCUGCAGAUCUUUCUCAGGGGAGGUGGCUUUUUAGAUGGUCUUUGAAUUUAGCAGGCGAAGGAGAGGGGAGCCCAGAGAAUCUGAAGGUUUCAGAUGCAGGAGGAAUGACAGGGACAUGGAAGCAAAAGAGUGUAGCAUGCCUGGAAAUUGACAUCAUUGAUUUUAGAUGGAUCACAGGAAACAUGUAAAAAUGUGUCUAGGCUGGGCAUCAUGGCUGACCCCUGUAAUCCCAACACUUUGGGAGACUGAGGCCGGCAGAUCACUUGAGGUCAGGAGUCCAAGACCAGCCUGACCAACAUGAUGAAACCCUGUCUCUACUGAAAACACAAAAAUUAGCCAGGUGUGGUGGCAUAUACCUGUAGUACCAGCUCCUCAGAAGGCUGAGGCAGGAGAAUUGCUUGAACCUGGGAGGCAGAGGUUUCAGUGAGCCGAGAUCAGGCCAUUGCACUCCAGCCUGGGUGACGGGGACUGUCUCAAAAGAAAAAAAAAAAAAA
rnacentral:lncRNA from 1 species